GGCUGGCUGGCCCAAUGGUAAGGCGUCUGAGCACGAAUCAGGAGAUUGUGGGCCCCACCCCCAUGCUGGCCA
rnacentral:tRNA from 1 species